UACGGGGCACUGCCCUACUGGCAGCAUCAGUGUCGAGAAAGGCAAGACGAGACCUUCUGGCUAUGAAGUCGACAGCUGAUUCAUGCCGAGCACAGUACGCUCCAGGAUAGGGUACCCGUGGGCUAGUCGCUUGCCCAGGAAUUAUAGAAGACAAGUGAACCUGAGCGAUGGCAGCUACUCGUUCAGCAAAAGUUCCAUAAGCAUGUGAUAAAUGCUUUGCAGCAGCAGUGUCCAUUGCACCAGGCACAACCUUCCCACCAUUUGAUGUAGUCUUCAUGCGCACAUACUGCUGAGCAAGUACGGUAAAAGAAGCGGAUCGGCGCCUAUAAGUUGUAGGUUGUAAGUCACGCACUUGCUCGCUGGGCUCAACUUUCCAGAUCCGAUAGCUACAUUAACAGCAUCCUCUGCCAUGCUGGAAUAGAUUUCAGUAAGAUGCUUACUGAAAAUUUCUAAUAACUGAAGGAUUAAACAUAGAUGCAUGCCACUUAUUCUGAUUGUACCAAAAAAGUGAAAAUAUUGAAAUGUUCAGUCACUUUAUUAUGCAA